rnacentral:rRNA from 1 species
CCCUUAGAUGUCCUGGGCCGCACGCGUGCUACACUGACACUUACACCGAGUUUUUCCGGCCCCGAGAGGUGGCUGGUAAUCAGUAAUAGGUGUCGUGAUGGGGAUAGAUCUUUGGAAUUAUUGAUCUUGAACGAGGAAUGCCUAGUAAUCGUAGGUCAUCAGCCUGCGAUGAUUACGUCCCUGCCCUUUGUACACACCGCCCGUCGCUCCUACCGAUUUCGAGUGGUCCGGUGAACCCUUCGGACAGAGAGAGUCUCGUACAAUCUCUGAAAGUCAAGUAAACCACAUCACUUAGAGGAAGGAGAAGUCGUAACA